rfam:Triticum aestivum genome assembly, contig: Triticum_aestivum_CS42_TGACv1_scaffold_622341_7DS
CUAGUACUCCCUCCGUCCGAAAAAGCUUGUCCCUCAAAUGAAUGUAUCUAGCAUGCUAGAUACAUCCAUUUGAAAGACAAGCUUGGGACAAGCUUUUUCGGAUGGAGGGAGUAAUUG